AGGUGAACAUCGGCUGCCCUCUUUGAAUCUGGACCAGCUGAUCUUGGCUGAAUUUGGCAGGCUGAGACCUCCCCAUGAACUCUAUGUCCAAUCUAGACCACAAGGUGGGGCUGUCAGAGGCUCAAAACGUGGUGCUGCCAGCUGGGCCCGCGGACAGAUUCCUCCAGAUGUGCUUCGCUCUGAUUGGCUCUCUGAGCUGUUUCCUCACUGGCCUCAGUCACCCUGUGUCAUAUUUCAGCUUUGAUACAGAGGGUCUUUCACAGUACUUCCAAGAAGGGGUGACCUGAUUCUGAAUGAUGAUGUCUGUCUUCCUCUGGAUUUUCAAACACCUACUUCUACUGUGAAAUGAGGAGACUGGUAUGGGCUUGUGGCCCACACACUCAGACACCAGCAGGAAUCUGUAGAGGAGCUUCAGUAACGAAACAGAAAAAAGAGAGAGUUGGUAAUUAAAGAGCAGCAGCACGCGCGCGCACACACACACACACACACACACACACACACACACACACACACACACACACACACACACACACACACACACACACACACACACACACACACACACACACACACACACACACAAGUAUACACAUUCGCAAUCCUUUCACUCGCGGAAGCAAAGAGACGAAAUAGAGAUGAGAAAAGAUCAAAAUAAUAAAAUAAUAGUCAAAGGUUGAAAGAUAAAGAGAAUGAUGUAUAAAAAGGUACAGAGACGCUGCCCUCUGUGAUACACACUGAGAUAUAGGUACUAAUUAAACAGGGCACUGCGCACACACACACACACACACACACACACACACACACACACACACACACACACACACACACACACACACACACACACACACACCAGACGUGCAGGGGCGGCUGAGGUUUUCAAAUUACAGCUUAUAUUCCAGGCACUUCUUUUCUUUCUUUCUCUGCCCUGAACAUUUGCAACAAACUUUCCACACAGGAGCAGACUACCGUACGAAAAACUGAACACUAUGAAAUUCAGCUCAUCUAUGAUUAAAAAAAAAAAAAUCUUUUGGUAAAUACUGAAUGAUAUUUUUAUGAAUCAUCAGAGUCUUUAGAUUUCUUACAACUUGGCAGCAAUCAUCAAAAAAAAAAUCUUUUCUCCAAAUACUCAACCACCAAAUUUUGUUCGUCAAGCUUAACAGAAUAAAAACAUUGGUUGGUUAGCUUAGCAUAAAGAUUGGAAGCUAUGGGGAAAAGAGCAAGACUCUGCCCAAAAGUUGCAAAACCACACCUUAAGACUAUUUCUAAAGAGUAAAUCUAAACUAUCUUGUUUGAACAAGCACAAAAAAACCUGUAGUCUCCAAGUUAGAUGCUUUCCUCAAUUCUCCAGUAUUUGUGAUGUUAAACAAUCCAGCUGCUGGUGGUUGCUUCAUAUCGAACAUACUGACCCAUUAUCUAACCCUCAGCAAGAAAGUGCAUAGGCAUCACAAAGAAUUAAACCAAUCCUUUGCUGUUUUUCAAGUAAUGUUAUUCCACACUGUCUAAAUCUACUAUAUACUCUAUAAUCUGGAUUGACUUGUUCAACUGCAACCACUGUGGCCACAGGUGGUAGUCUCAUACAGAGGCAAUUUGUACACAGUGUCUCAUGAGAGCAGAAAUGUCACAACAUUUGCCAACUGACGUGGUAAUAUGCACUGAUCAGCCACAACAUUAAAACUACUUACAGGUGAAGUAAAUAAUAUUGAUCAUCCUGUCUCGUCGCAAUGAUCUGAUGGGAAACCUUGGGUACAGGUACCACCCAUCUAAACAUUGUUCUAGACCAAACACAACCCACAUGGCAGAAACCUCUCCAUACAGGAGAAUACACCAUACAACACUACCAAAUCUGCCCAGGAAUGGCUUGAAGAACAUAGGAUAGAGCCCAAGGUGUUGACCAAGCCUCUGAACUCCCCAGAUCUCAAUCCAAUCCAAUCAAAUAUCUGCUAGAUGUGCUGGAAAAAGCCAGAUCCAUGGACCUUAUAACUUAGCUCAGUGUCCAGGUGCCAGAAACCACAUGUCAUUCCCAAAGCUCCUGUGUUCAUACCCUGGAUCAGAGCUGUCUUGGUGGCACAAUGGGAACCUACACAAUCCUAGUGGCUUUAAUGUUAUGGCUGAUCGGUGCAUGUUAAGGAUUGUAGAUACAGGCUGGUUGUUGAGCACCAUUAUGUUGGGUCAUGUUAGUCUAAACUAAUUAAAAUCGGUGUGUUGAAACUCACUGCAAUACCCAUCUAAAGUUUGGAACUAUUAACCUUUAGCAGCUGGUCAUGACCUCAGAUAGCCCCAGUUCAAGAACCACAACCCCUGAGUGUACUGAGGACACAUAAAACACCGAUAAUGAUGUUUUAAGGAGAAACUUGUGCUGUCGUAAGUUAGAUAACCUCCCUUUAAAAUCCAAAUAACUGUCAUUAUUGGCUCCACCAUACCAUCAAACUGACACAUUCCACAGGUGGUGUGCAUCUUUUAACACCCAUUUUCCCUAAAUGUCACUUUAUCGUUUGUAUCUUUAUAAGGUAAACGUAUCAGCUGAAGUUGUCACAUUUAGUUGUUCAAGGCAAAAGAGGAGAUUUACAAAAAGGCAACAACAUGAAUAAUUCUUUAGGUUUAUUUUUGUAUCAUGGUGGUUGGAUAAGCAGUCAAGCUCCCUCAAGAUGGCAAGAAGUGACAGGAAAAGGGACUAAAGGCACUAAAAGUGUGGUUUUAGCCCAAUUCAUCCCGUGCCGCAACUUUCAUCUCUACUCUACCCCCAGGAAGCUGCAGGCACUUGCACGAGUCUGUAAGUGCGGUGACAAAGGCAGGCUGGGUCAAAAGAAUUCAGCUCCCUCGUAGACUCGACAGGCCUGAGCGCAUAUCAGCAUGCUGAGGCCACCGGCAUUAUUCACCCUGCCGACUGACUCAGUAGCACCCGGAGAGGAAGGAACCGGGGAAGAACUAGUAAAAGACAGGCCAGGGUUUUUAAGGAGCCCUCAUUUACUUUAAGUGCUUCAAAUUAUACAACGGCCCGGCCAAGUUUGUGAUGUGUCUUUGUAUAUGUAACAUUCCCCUGCCUUCUCUAGCUUUUCCUGUAUCCCCUCCUACCCCACGUUUCUCAUGUCAUUUCAGUCAAUCUCCGUCUUUGCGUUUCUUCCUCGCUGUCUGUCUCGACUCCCUCAGGGUCACCACAUCUGCAGGCUGUUUCCACUGGAAUAUAUUUCUUAGGCGUUUAGACUGUAGCUGCAAGGAGGCGGAGUUAUUGAAGAGCUGGUCUAAUGUCAGAAUGGGAAAAGGGUGCAGAGAGGGAGUGUGGGGUCGGGGGAGAGUAUAAAUAUGUGUCAGGAAACACAAGUGAGCAUGGCGGAGAAGAUGAGUCAGAGAAAGUUCCUUCUACUCAACAACACAGUCAAAAGAGUUUAUUAUUUAACCAAACUAAGUCUCUAAUGAAAUUUCAGUCCCUUUGUAUUGAGCCUCAGAGGAUAUAUCAAAACUGAAGUUGCCCUGAGAAGAAUUUAUGUCAAUGAAAGAGCUAAAGAGGCGAGAAGGAACGUGAGAAUCGCUAAAAAACAUCCAAGUCAAGAGGAUAAAAAAUCAAAGUAGGGCACCUCCCUUGGCUGGGACCAACGUAUGGUUGGAUUUGCCUGUAUGUCCACAUGACUCACAGUCUGGUCAGCAAACGCAUAAUAAACGUGACAGAAAUAUCCCCACACAAUGUCACCAGAGUCCACGGCAGGCAGCUAAUUGCUAGAUAGAGCUGGGUCGUGGUUUGAGAGAGGAAAAAAAAGGAGUCCAACUCAUCGGAGUAGAGCAAAUGGAUAUCCAUAUACUGUGUGUAGUUUUACUUUUUAUCUUUUGAAAUGCUACAUCAAAAUAUAAACGGAACUGAGUUGUCAAGCCAAUGGUUUGACAGUGUUUGGUCAAGAUUUUGGUCGAUUUUUGGUGGUUUACUAAUGAGUUUAUGUUUGCAUAUUCAUAGUAUUGCUUACUUUGAAUAUAAUUCGAAAUGUAGCUGCCAUGUUUGUCAAUGGCUCUGAAUUGAAGACUAUAAUAUUGCCAAAGUCCUUAUAGGCAAGAAUCCCCACUUGGCAACCAUCUUGGUAAAUUAUCUGGCCAGUUAUUUUGGGAUAACAAGAUCAAGUCUCUAUCUAAAUGAAUAAGAGGAGAGUCAUAAUUGCAAUUUCAAUGGACAUAAAAACUGCAAGUAUAUAAUCAUCAAUUAAACCUGCUAAAAAAAAAUAAAUAAAUAAAAAGUUUGGUGACUUUGCCCCGAAGUUCUACUUUUACAUACUAUGCAUCUGUGCAGCUUCACAACACCAUGCUAAAGUCAGCGCAACAACACAAUUGGGUUAUUAUUUCCUGGUUCUGCUACCACAAAGUAGAUGAUUGGCUCGUUCGGGAGAGGGGCGGGAUGUGUCGGAUAAAUGCCAUCUUUGGCGUUGCAGGAUUCUCCCGAAGAUUUCUAUGCUUUGUCUUUCGCUUAUCCCAUCUACAACAUUACUUAAGAACUAUAUAGUUAACUUUGUUAUUAAGGAAAUCUUCCUGGCCAGUGCAAACCAGCAAAUAAAUUGCACUAAACCGCUAAUUAAUUUCUACUUUCUUGGCCACUAUGGUACAGUUGAUGCAUGUUGUCCCUUAAAGUCAAUAGAGAAGGAUAUUUGAAACAGUAUUCAUAGCAUAUUUCAAUUAAUAAUUACAUUGAUAUGUGAAUAUGUUAACUCCAGAUUUAGCUUAAUUCUUCCAUUUCAUAGCGCAUUUUAUGUCAAAGAGACAUGUUUUUAAAGAUUAUCUUGGCCUUUGGCUUCACUUAGAUGUGGAGAGAUACAAGAAAUGUGAGAAAGCUAGCAGUGGAAUGACGUUUUAGUCAGGAAAUCAAAUCAGGGACUCCCUGCUUGGUGACAUUUACACUUGUGUCAUAUGUGCUCUACAGCUAUCAAGUCAAUUCCAAAGAUACAUGUUAAGAGCAUUAAAACUAAAUUUCUGACUCAGUGCCUGGACAGUGUUAACUGGUUGGUCAGUCCAACACAUCCAGACUGGGAUAUCUCAGCAUUUAUCCAAUGAAUAUGUUUGGUAUGCUAUGCUGACGUGCUAAAAUAAGAUGGUGAACAUGCCAAACAUUUUAUCUGUAUGUUAACAUUAUGACUUUAUAUGAUAUUUCUGACAGUCAGGGCUGCUUGGAUAGAGAUAGAGACAUGGUGGACUAAAAUCCAUAUGUGUGAGGAGUAAGAAUUUAACUGUCAACAAUGAUUAUCUUUUGAUAAAUUCACAAAAAACUAAGCAAAUAAACCACAACAAAACACAGAAGGACAUUCUAUCAGACACUUCAUAGACAAAGGAUGCAUAGCAGACCUUCAUAUGCAUAUGCAGUAACGUUACACUUUUGGUGUCACUGCUACAGUUGCGAAUAUUCAUCACGUGAUGAAUUCAUUUUCUGGGUGAAGGUUGCUGUCAAACAGUUUUGCUGGAAAAUGCAUAAAAAUGGAACCAAAUGGUCCACUCACAAAGCAUAUUUGUAUGAUUUUUAAGUUUUCUGGGUCUUAACUACCUUGUUCUAAUGGUUCAACUGAAGUUUGACAUUUGUCUACAGUGAAUUUUACACCGAUAAAUUGUCAGCUUGUGCUCAUGAGAACGGUUCACAUAGAACAUGAGUGGGCUGCUAUGUUGAGGGAAUCAGCUGUAUCUGAUUAAAUGGUGCAGGUGAAUGAUCCAAGCAGCCUUCCUCCAGUUCAGUGAAGUUGUUGCGCGCUGGCUGUUGAAGGGUUAAGCUGAGCUCAGCUAUGGUGAGCAGAGGGGAGAGAACUGAAAUCUUUUCCAUAUUACAGCACACAUGAGGAACACAUUUAAGUGAGUUCAGCUGUCCAGAGUCUCUCUCUCUCUCUCUCUCUCUCUCUGGCUGGUUUGGGGUAAGUUCAGCACAGCCGUAUAUCAUUACACAUCUGGGAAAAUACACUCACAGCCCCGGAUGACACACCAGAAAAAAGAGAGACAAUGAGCUCCAUCCCUAACCAACCUCGGUGGAAAACAGGUCUGAAAAUGAAACGGAAUGAGUAAAGGCAAACCAAUGAACAAAGGAUCCUGAAUACUGCAGGAUACCCAAUAAAACUCACAUUGAAUGUGUUGGUGUGCAGCCAGCGGCGUCUUUGCACACUCAGAGAAAAAAGCCAGGCAAAACAAGUGAACAAGCAAAAACUGCGAAAUAACCAUUAACACUAAUAGAAAUCUGAGACCUCAUUUUUUUAGUUCCUCCCAUGAAGGCAGCUCCAUUAACUCCACCUCUUUCAAAUUUCUCCGGUUCCUGCAGUUUUAUUUUGGUAUGAUGGAUACCGACUGGCCGAGAUUUCAGGAGGGAGGAAUCUCUGCAGCUCUUUUUUCCAGUAUGGAAAGUGUUGCUUCCCUUCAGCCCCAAGUCCACAUACCACAAUAAUACUGCCUCCAUCAUCUCAACUACCUCUACAUAGUUCUCUUUCCAGUUUAACACUGAAAAUGCUACUGUUUCUUAUCCUUUUCACUUCUCUUCAUCCCUGUUUCUCUUCUUCAGCAUACCCACAGAUAAAGGUGAGAGUUCCUGAUGGGUGGCAAACAAGAGUUAUAGAUGUGAGGUCAAAGUUAGAGGUGAAAAAAAUCCUCUCUGAGUAUUUGAAGGCCCACACAUCUCAGCCCUCUCAUGCCUGACCUCAAAUCUAGCAUGUCCUGUGAAAGGCAGAGGAGGUAUUUAAGGGAAUCCCAACACAAAACCUAAAUUUUUCAUCCGCUUCCACAGUUAUAUCAGUCCCGCCACGUGUUUUCAAAUCUGCACAUUUCACUGCAUCGGCCGCUCCAAGGGCUUACAAGGAUUGUUCUCUCAAAGGAACCAGAACACAGAGUGCAAAAUUGAAAGUCUACACCUUUCUGUAUCUCAGUGUCCCAGGUGUAGAUUAAAAAAAUACUUUCUGUGAUGGUGUGGUACAUUUCAAGCUAAAAGUAAUCCGUUUUCUUUAGUAUUUGCUCACACAGCCAGUGAGUUUUUGUCGAGGAGAACCUCAGGGCCUGGCUUCGCUUUACGACUACUGCCAGUCACCGUGACAACAAGGAAGUAAAAUGACUCCUCCAGACCUCCUCCGCACUUGAAUGAUUUCACAGAUGGGAAGGAAGAAAACGGUCUGCAAAACAGUUGGAUCUUGUAAAGUCAGGAAAGACUUCUGAUGCAGGACAAAAGUUUGCACUGAUUUCAUGUUGUUGUACAAACUUCAGCUUGGCAAUGUGGGUUUUCAUUCUGGCGGUAAAUUCAUUAAUCAAGCUACGUAUAUGCCAUACAAGACUGAAAUCAAACAUUUAAACACAAUAUGGAAAGCAGAUUCAGGCCUAGUCCACACUUUUCUCAAAAAAGAAAUUGUAUAUUCACAUGAAAAUGCAGCAUCAUGAUACAAAUGCCGCAAAAUAUCUGCACCAACUUCUAACCCGUGACCCAACCCGAGGUACACUGGAGCUCGGUUUGAAGAUAAAGCUAAAGUUUACCUGAGUGGGAGCUGAAUACCUUCAAAAAUACUGUUUGUACUAGAUUUGUUCCUCCUCCUGAAUUUAAACACAUGAUAGUUUCUGAAUUAAAGUAUUUUGGUCAAGGUUUCAGUGGUAUGACAGUUUCCAUCAGUGAAUGGAGCUAAGGAGGAAGUCCUGUUAACAUGUCAUCAGUCUCUUAGGUUUGAUGAUUAUCUACGAUAUUUAUAAGUGCAAUCGUAGUUGUCAUUCUGGUGCAAUGACUGUGGACAUUAUGUGUAAUAUUUUAUACAGUGGCUGCUGAGUUAUACUGUUUGGUACAAUGAUAAUAAAGCUUUAUGAUUCUGAUUUUGA